CAGGAGCAGAACGGCCGGAGUCCUCCCGCCAGCUUUUAUACUGCGCUAUUUUAGUCGCGCGCUCUGAUUGGCCAGCCAUGGUGACGACACGCCUGGACGCCGAAAGGUGGAGGAGAGAUUGGGCGGAUGUGAGCUUCCGGCUGCCGGAAAGUGAGCUUGGCUGGAGCAACCCUGGCACAGGCCUUGGCACCGACUCAUUCACUCCAGAAACCACUCGGAAGACUUAGACAGGAGGCUUGCUUGCUUGAGUUCUUGAGUUGGAGGUUGGUGUAGAUAAAACAGUAAGAUUCAAUCUCAAAAACAAAUAAGUUAAAUAAACAGAAAGAGAAGAGAAGGAAGAAGGAAAGGAGAAAACAGAAAGAAAGAAGGGAAAGGAAGCCAAGGAUGUAUCGUGGCCCAGUUGAUAGAGUGGAGCUCAAAUGGAAAACCCAACUUUCUCAAAGCUGAAAGCAACUGUGUUAUGCAGACAAUACAAAAAUUUGUGAUUUUCACUUUAGUUUGUUUCAGACUUUGGUGUUAUGAACAAUAUAAGGCUUGAUGACUUAAAAAAAUGUAUUGAAACAGUUUUUAUAAGAGGUAGCCAGGUCCACUUGAAAUAUCUCCAUGGAGCUGGGGAAAUAACUCCCGGGUCCAUUGUUCGCCUAAGAUGGAAGAGGUCCUAUGUUCAAUCCUUGACACCAAAGUUUGAAUACGGCACUGCGACAUUAUGAACUUUACAAGUGUGGGAACCACUAAAAGUUAUACUCAACCCUGGAUGCUAUCCAAAGCACAACUGAAGACUCAGGUAUUUCUUAAUCUACAAACGAAAUGCUCCCUCCCCAGGGCCUCUGCGCUUAUCAUCCCAUCGAUGAAAUUAUGGGAUGACUUUUGCUCAAAUUAUUCAAGCUUCUGAACUUAGAAUCGGACAUUUUUACAAUGCUCUGUUAUGACUGUAUAGAUUCUGUAGUUCACUAGACCAGAUAACAGCGUGCCCUGUAAUGAGGCUCUCCCUUAUCUUGAAAAAUGCAAACACAACAAAUAGGCACAGAGUUAGAACAUGGACAUUUUAUCUUUUGCUUUUAUUGAGGUCUCCAUGUAUAGACCACCCCGUUCUCUGCUCCCCUGCUCAAGAGAUCCUCCUGCUUCAGACACCAAACAGCUGGCGCUCUAGGAGGCUGGAAGCUGAGGGCCGGCCGCCAUCAGCAUGUGAGGGACCUGCUGGUGCUGGCUUUCCUCCCAAACUGCUUGCCUAAGCUUUGUCCCUUUCUCCUUAUCUGGCUGCAUCUCUCUCACAACAGAAGGGGACUUGGAGUGCACUCUUUAUUGCCCUCAGGAAUGUCAGCUCUUUAUUCUUUGACCUCAUCAUACUUUGGACCUCUCUCAGGUUGUUUAUGUACAUCUGAUUCCCAGCCCUUUCACUGGAUGGAAGAUUUAAAUUCAGUAAUAAACUUCCCACAUCUCC
rnacentral:lncRNA from 1 species